rnacentral:lncRNA from 1 species
CCUACAGAUGGCGGUGGUGCUCCGGGAGGGAUCCGACCCCUCCUCCGGGGCUCUCUAUGGGGCGGUGCGGCCGAAGCGGGUCGGCAGUGCGGGGUCGGAACCGCCGCGAUGUGAGCGCUGCCCCCGAGCCAUGGACCGGCAGAGAGGGAUGCAGGCGCCGUGGGGAUGCAAUGGGGAUGUGUUGCUGCAGGGGAUGCAGGCACCACCGAGAUGCAAUGGGGAUGCAUCGGUGCAGGGAUGCUGGGACCACAGGGAUGCAAUGGGGAUGCAUUGCUGCAGGGGAUGCGGCACCAUGGCAGUGCCUGGCCCUGCUGCUGCUGCAGGACCCCCAGGACCCCCCUCCCCGCUCCCAGCUGGUGGCUGCUCUGCACUUUCUGCAUGCACGGAGCAGCCUCCAGCAGCAGCAGCAGCAGCAGCGCUCCCAUGCACUGCGCUCCCUCCUCCUGGAGCAGCAGGUCGGGCUGUGCACGCACCCAACCCACAACCAACCCCCGCUGUGCACUGGGGAGGGGGGUCAGUGGUGGGGUUGUGCCCGGGGGGGGGGGGGGGGGGCUGCCACCCCUGCUCCCCCCGCAGAUCUGGAGGCUCUGCUGGCCGACCUGCGCUCCUUUCUGCUCCUCCCUCGACCGGGAGAGCCUCAGCGCCGCAGCCCGAGCCAAGAAGCAGUCGGUGGGAGAGCUGCUGCAACGGCUGCAGGGCCC